rnacentral:rRNA from 1 species
UACGUAGGGGGCUAGCGUUGUCCGGAAUCAUUGGGCGUAAAGAGCGUGUAGGCGGCCCGGUAAGUCCGCUGUGAAAGUCGGGGGCUCAACCCUCGAAUGCCGGUGGAUACUGUCGGGCUAGAGUACGGAAGAGGCGAGUGGAAUUCCUGGUGUAGCGGUGAAAUGCGUAGAUAUUGGGAGGAACACCAGUGGCGAAGGCGACUACCUGGACCAGCACUGACACUGAGGCACGAAAGCGUGGGGAGCAAACAGG